rnacentral:misc_RNA from 1 species
UACGUAGGGUGCGAGCGUUGUCCGGAAUUAUUGGGCGUAAAGAGCUCGUAGGCGGCCUGUCGCGUCGGAUGUGAAAGCCCGGGGCUUAACCCCGGGUCUGCAUUCGAUACGGGCAGGCUGGGGUGUGGUAGGGGAGAUCGGAAUUCCUGGUGUAGCGGUGAAAUGCGUAGAUAUAGGAAGGAACACCAGUGGCGAAGGCGACCACCUGGGCUCAUACUGACACUGAGGCACGAAAGCUAGGGGAGCAAACAGG